rnacentral:rRNA from 1 species
UACGUAGGGUGCGAGCGUUGUCCGGAAUUACUGGGCGUAAAGAGCUCGUAGGUGGUUUGUCGCGUUGUCCGUGAAAACUCACAACUCAAUUGUGGGCGUGCGGGCGAUACGGGCAGACUGGAGUACUGCAGGGGAGACUGGAAUUCCUGGUGUAGCGGUGGAAUGCGUAGAUAUCGGGAGGAACACCAGUGGCGAAGGCGGCUUCCUGGACCGGUUCUGACACUGAGGAGCGAAAGCGUGGGAGCGAUACCGG